rnacentral:lncRNA from 1 species
ACCUGGUACAGCUGACCCAUUGUGGCACUGGUGGGUGGAAUGACAUUGUUGACAAAGAAAAACAAGGCAUCCUCAGCUCGGAGAUGAAUUCGCUUCCGGAUCAAGAAGUAGAACUGACCAACUGCAAAAGAUACAAGAUGCAAGAAAGUCACAGAGGUCAAAAAUGCCCUCAAAAGAACAGCUGCUAGGUGGAGCCUCCUCCCGCAGAGA